UCGUCUGAUUGGGCAGAUUGUGUCGUCCA
rnacentral:piRNA from 1 species